CUAAGACACAUAAUCUACAUUAUUUUGCAUAACAAAGAAAUUGUUUUUGGUUUCAUCGACCUAAGCUGUGUCUAGCAGCUGUUUCUUCUUCUUAAUCAUAAUCAAGUCACGCACAUUCAAACAAACAACACGAACAGCCCAUUUGACGGAUCUCUCUAAAGCUCAAAACUUUCCGAAUUCCAUUAAUAUAUUUUUAUCUUUAUAAACCCAUCUACUCUUCAUUUCACACCCAAAAUGGCUUCCUCCUCUGCCACCCCUCUCUCUGCUUCUGCUUCUUCUUCUUCUUCUUUCUCUGCUCUCUCCGAAGCCCCCUCCGCUUUCCCCCAUUAUUACCAUUCCGCCACUCUUUCUUUCCCCCUCUCCGCUAAAUCCACCAGGCUCAGGCUCUCGAACAAGGGUUCUUUGAAAUAUUCAUCCGUUGCCAAAGCCCAAUUGAAUGAGGUAAGUUUCUUUCAAUCAUUUUCACUGGAGGGUCUGUUUUCAAUUGUUCAUUCCUUCCUGGACACGCUUCUCGGAUCAUCAAAUGAUGCAGCCACACCUCCAGCCAAAUCGGAAGUACCAGGAGCAGAAGUGGAAGAUGCUAAGGCAUCAAAUGAGCCUUCUCCAGAAACUCUGACUACAGAGGAAUCAAUUUCAGAGUUUAUCACUCAAGCUGCAAGUCUUGUUAAGCUUGUUGAUUCAAGAGAUAUAGUGGAGUUGCAAUUGAAACAACUCGAUUGUGAACUAAUUAUCCGGAAAAAAGAGGCCUUGCCACAAUCUCCAUUGCCUGCUCCCACUGUUAUGAUGCAUUCACCCACUCCACCACCUGUAAUGCCAACGGCUCCACCUCCUCCUGCCCCCACACCUCCUGCAUCUGCUCCAUCUCCAACUCCAUCCCCAUCAACUCCUACUCCAGCUGCCAAACCGGCUAAGUCUUCACUUCCACCUCUUAAAUGUCCCAUGGCAGGUACAUUCUAUAGGAGUCCCGCACCUGGUGAACCACCGUUUGUAAAGAUUGGAGACAAAGUGCAGAAGGGACAGGUCUUAUGCGUCAUUGAGGCCAUGAAAUUAUUGAAUGAAAUAGAAGCUGAUCAAUCAGGAACCAUAAUCGAGGUCCUUGUAGAAGAUGGAAAGCCAGUCAGCCUCGAUACGCCUCUCUUUGUGAUCGAACCAUAGAAUUAUCAAAAAGGCAAGUAAAUGAAUCAAGUAAAUAUGAGAGGGCAUGCUCAGUUCCUGGUGGCGUUUGAUUUUGAUCUUUAGAAAGCUUGCCAGUUGCCAAUGUUGCUCAUGGUAAAUGCUGGUUUUUUAUUGCCAUUUUUGAUCUAUUUAUCAUUGAAAUUUACAGAGACAUUCAGAUUUGAAUAUAUAGAUUGUAUAUAUUCUUAUUUUACCAUUCGCCACCGAAGUGUGCGUGAGAUAUCGAAAAUGUUUAAUUCUAUA